rnacentral:lncRNA from 1 species
UUGGUUGUAUUCCCUUACCAAAUGCUGGGGACUAUGGUGGAUGGUUUUGCCCAUGCCAUGGAUCACAUUAUGAUAUUUCUGGCAGAAUUAGGAAGGGACCUGCACCAUACAAUCUGGAGGUACCUACUUAUACAUUCUUGGAGGAAAACAAGUUGUUGAUUGGUUGAAGACCUUUGGCUGCUCCCUAGUGGAAUGGGUCCAAAAUAUUUUUGAUUUAUUGGAU